CAUUGCCCAGUGUUCAUCACUGCCCUUGAGGUGGUAGCCAGGGGAGUCCUGGUCUCAUCCUGCUGUCACCUAGCAAGGCACUGUCAUGGGUCCUGGAUGCUCCUGGAAGUGUGUUCAGGAAGAAGGACUUCCUCAUGAUAUCCUGUUUUCCUCGGUUUACAAAGACAACUCAGUGUCGAGGGAACUGAAGACUGGGGUGUGCUAGUCUAACACAAAUUUAGCUGAAGCCAAGAAUGCCCUGGUUUGGCUCUGGAAGGAGUGCUAAGCAGCCAAGGACAUUUGGAAAGCCAAAUCUAAACCAGUACGGUGUUUUGCUCAGCCCAUUUCCAGCUUCUGUGAAAUCAGUGCUGACACCAGUGAGACCAUUGGAGACAUAAGGAGUACUCCUGUGCUGGCUGACCCAGUGCAGUUCAGCUGCUGGCUCACAGGAGGGUUUUUUUAGCUCACUGCUUUUCUCAUUAAGGAAUUGUUGUCAUCGAAUCUGCAUGAUAGAAGAUAACAGAGCUGGAAAUAUACCUGCAACCUUGCUUGUGACAUUUCAAGGACUGAUAUGAAUCGUGCUAAUAUUAAGUCAUGACUAUUUUUGCACAGAGAUGAAUGUAUGUAAGCACAUAGAUGUACUCUAUCUAUCCAUCUAUAUAUAUAUAAACUUGUGGAAGAGCCAAGUGACAAAUGGCCCUCAAGAUUACUAGAAAAUAUAGCUGAAUGCCACUAGCUAGAAUUACAAUCUGAUGUUACAUCCACCUGGUGCUCCAAGGGACUCCUGAAAUGAAAAUUUAGGCUAUUUCCCUUCAUGCAAUAUAUAGACUGAUAGCAGUAUAUAAGGUGAUCUUUUAAAAUUACUUUUAAUGCGUCAUGUGGGUCUUACAUGGAUUAUAAUACUUAUGAGGAUUGUAGAAAUGAGAGAAAGGUAAAGGAAAAUGUCUGUUUUACAGAAAGCUGCCUAUCUACUCUCUUAGAAAUAAUAUGGGAAUAUAAUAUGUGCCCUAUAAUAACACUUCUCCCUGAUAAGUAACAGAUGAGAUGCUAUAGUGUUGCAACUGUGCUGAAAGCAUUUUCAAUGGCACUCUUUGUUUGACGCUAAUGAAUGUAGAUCCUCUGGGUUGGACUGCUUUACCAGAUUUUCAUCUAAGACAAAGCAGGGAAGAACUGCUCACAGGACUCCCCAGACCUGUUCCAGCUCUGAGCCUGGUCUAGAUCUGAUAGAGAUCUGGAAUUUGUUAAUAUGCACAGAAAACCAUAACAAAAUGUGUUGAUUGAUGUAUUCUGUUCCAUAAACAGAUCUUCCCCUGAGCAAUUAAAAUAAUCUCAUUGCACUACACCUUCUUCAAAUUCUCUUGAGAGUGUCUAAGUUAACUUGAUGUACA